rnacentral:rRNA from 1 species
UAGGGAAUCUUCGGCAAUGGGGGCAACCCUGACCGAGCAACGCCGCGUGAGUGAAGAAGGUUUUCGGAUCGUAAAGCUCUGUUGUAAGAGAAGAACGUGUGUGAGAGUGGAAAGUUCACACAGUGACGGUAACUUACCAGAAAGGGACGGCUAACUACGUGCCAGCAGCCGCGGUAAUACGUAGGUCCUGAGCGUUGUCCGGAUUUAUUGGGCGUAAAGCGAGCGCAGGCGGUUUAAUAAGUCUGAAGUUAAAGGCAGUGGCUUAACCAUUGUUCGCUUUGGAAACUGUUAAACUUGAGUGCAGAAGGGGAGAGUGGAAUUCCAUGUGUAGCGGUGAAAUGCGUAGAUAUAUGGAGGAACACCGGUGGCGAAAGCGGCUCUCUGGUCUGUAACUGACGCUGAGGCUCGAAAGCGUGGGGAGCAAACAGG